GGGAAUGUGGCUUAGUGGUAAAGUGCUUGCCUGGCACGCAUGAAGCCCUGGGUUUGAUUCCUCAGUACUG
rnacentral:tRNA from 1 species